ensembl:lncRNA
GGGUAGUACUGUGUGUAUCUGUAUUAGUGGGUAGUACUGUGUGUAUCUGUAUUAGUGGGUAGUACUGUGUGUGUACUUGUAUUAGUGGGUAGUACUGAGUGUGUACCUGUAUUAGUGGGUAGUACUGUGUGUGUACCUGUAUUAGUGGGUAGUACUGUGUGUGUACCUGUAUUAGUGGGUAGUACUGUGUGUGUACCUGUAUUAGUGGGUAGUACUGUGUGUGUAGUUGUAUUAGUGUUAGUACUGCGUGUGUACCUGUUAUUGGUGGGUAGUACUGCUUGGGGGCAUGUACCACCAGGAGCUGGUUUGCCUUCAGCUGGGAGGGAAGUUAGCUGUAAUCUCCCCCAGCGUGGUCGCUCUCCAUUGGGCAUCGAAGUCUGUCAGCAGUACCACCACCAACAUGGAGUUUAGCUCUGCUGGGAGGAGCGGGAGAAGAUGGAGGACAAGGUGGAGAUCAGAUAGCUGCCUUUAGGACGACUCACCGAGCACAGCCCGAUGGUCAGGUACUCUGAGAGAGAGAGAGAACAGACCAAUAGUCAGGUACUCUGGAGAGAGAGAGAGAGCGAGAACAGACCAAUAGUCAGGUACUCUGGAGACAGAGAGAGAGCGAGAACAGACCAAUAGUCAGGUACUCUGGAGAGAGAGAGAGAGCGAGAACAGACCAAUAGUCAGGUACUCUGGAGAGAGAGAGAGCGCGAGAACAGACCAAUAGUCAGGUACUCUGGAGAGAGAGAGAGAGAGAGAACAGACCAAUAGUCAGGUACUCUGGAGAGAGAGAGAGAGCGAGAACAGACCAAUAGUCAGGUACUCUGGAGAGAGAGAGAGCGAGAACAGACCAAUAGUCAGGUACUCUGGAGAGAGAGAGAGCGCGAGAACAGACCAAUAGUCAGGUACUCUGGAGAGAGAGAGAGCGCGAGAACAGACCAAUAGUCAGGUACUCUGGAGAGAGAGAGAGAGAGCGAGAACAGACCAAUAGUCAGGUACUCUGGAGAGAGAGAGAUAUGACAGCAUUCCCUCCCCCAUCUGCCCCCCUAGACAAUCUACCACAACAUAACCAACAAAAACAGGGCACAACUCCUGCAGCUCUGUCACACGCUGGGUAUGUACAUAGUCAAUGGUAGACUUCGAAGAGACUCCUAUGGUAGGUACACCUAUAGCUCAUCUCUUGGCAGUAGUACUGUAGACUACUUUAUCACUGACCUCAACCCAGAGUCUCUCAGAGCGUUCACAGUCAGCCCACUGACACCCCUAUCAGACCACAGCAAAAUCACAGUCUACUUGAACAGAGCAAUACUCAAAUCAUGAGGCAUCAAAGCCAAAGGAACUGAAUAAUAUUAAGAAAUGCUAUAGAUGGAAGGAAAGUAGGUUGAAAAGAUACCAAAAAACAAUUAGGCAACAACAAACUCAUUCCCUUUUAUACAACUUCCUGGACAAAACGUUUACACUAGGUCUAAACUUGGCAUUAGAAAACCUAAACAAUAUAUAAUAUCACUCAUCGUCUCUGUCUCUGUCUCUCUCUCUCUGUCUCUCUCUCUGUCUCUCUGUCUGUCUCUCUCUCUGUCUCUCUCUCUGUCUCUCUCUCUCCUAGGACUACCUGGCAUGAUGACUCCUUGCUGUCCCCAGUCCACCUGACCAUGCUGCUGCUCCAGUUUCAACUGUUCUGCCUGCGGCUAUGGAAUCCUGACCUAUUCACCGGACGUGCUACCUGUCCCAGACCUGCUGUUUUCAACGCUUUAGAGUUGGGCCUUCCUAGGGAGUUUUUCCUAGCCACCGUGCUUCUACACCUGCAUUGCUUGCUGUUUGGGGUCUUAGGCUGGGUUUCUGUACAGCACUUUGAGAUAUCAGCUGAUAUAUCGGCUAUAUAAAUACAUUUGAUUUGAUGGGGGAAAACAUACAUUAUAAAAUUAGUGUCAAAAAACACACAUUUCUUUCCACAGGGCCGUGAGGUGAGACAGGGAUGCAGCUUAAGCCCCACCCUCUUCAACAUGUAUUACAACGAAUUGGCGCAAGCACUACAACAGUCUGCAGCACCCAGCCUCACCCUACUAUAAUCUGAAGUCAAAUGUCUACUGUUUGCUGAUGAUCUGGUACUUCUGUCACCAACCAAGGAGGGCCUACAGCAGCACCUAGAUCUUAUGCACAGAUUCUGCCAGACCUGGGCCCUGACAGUAAAUCUCAGUAAGACAAAAAUAAUGGUGUUUGAAACAUGGUCAAGUUGCCAGGACAACAAAUACAAAUUCCAUCUAGACACUGUUGCCCUGGAGCACACAAACAACUAUACAUACCUCGGCCUAAACAUCAGCGCUCUAGAGCACACAAACAACUAUACAUACCUCGGCCUAAACGUCAGCGCUCUAGAGCACACAAACAACUAUACAUACCUCGGCCUAAACAUCAGCGCCACAGGUCAUUUCCACAAAGCAGCUAACGAUCUGGGACAAGGCAAGAAGGGCCUUCUAUGCCAUCAAAAGGAACAUCAAAUUCGACAUAGCAAUUAGAAUUUGGCUAAAAAUACGAAUCGGUUAUAGAACCCAUUGCCCUUUAUGGUUGUGAGGUCUGGGGUCCGCUCACCAACCAAAAAUUCACAAAAUGGGACAAACACCAAAUUGAGAGUCUGCAUGCAGAGGGCAGCAAAAAUAUUCUCAGUGUGAGAAUGAAGAGCAGAAUAAGGCCGAUACCCGCUAAUUAUUAAAAUCCAGAAAAUAGCCAUUCAAUUCUACAACCACCUAAAAGAAGUGAUUCCCAAAACUUCCAUAACAAAGCCAUCACCUACAGAGAGAUGAACCUGGAUAAGAGUACCCGAAGCAAGCUGGUCCUGGGGCUCCGUUCACAAACACAAACAGACCCCACAGAGCCCCAGGACAGCAACACAAUUAGACCCAACCAAAUCACGAGAAAACAAAAAGAUAAUUAUUUCCAAUGUGUCAUGUAAUUAACAAAAAAGCUGAGCAAACUAGAAUGCUAUUUGUCCCUAAACUGAGAGUACACAGUGGUAGAAUACCUGACCACUGUGACUGACCCAAACAUAAGGACCUUGACUAUGUACAGACUCAGUGAGAAUAGCCUUGCUACUGAGAAAGACCGCCGUAGGCAGACCUGGCUCUCAAGAGAAGGCAGGCU